UCCACCUUUACAUCCCUAGUACACUCUGACUCUUCCUUUCUAUUCAGUUCAUCUGUUGACUUGUUGUACUGCCGUGGUUGGAUUUGAUCCGCAGUACAUCAAGUCAGAACAGCUCAAUUAAACUUGUAAAUCAUUGAAGGCUUCGAAAUCUAGGACGUAGGGCACCAGUAGACGCAUCGAAUCUUGAAGCAGAAAUAGAUCCACGUACAAGUGAAAAUAUUGACGAUGACAUCGUGUUGCCUUUGAUGAUUUCUAGGUGUUCAAGAAACAACAAGGGAUGGUGAAAAGCAAACGAUGGCGAGUGCAACUGCUGAUUUAGGAUCCAGGCUAGACAAAGAAAAAGGAUUUGGAGAAAAUUUGUGAAAACAGAAUGUAUAAAUCCUCCAAGUACAAAUAAUGACUGAAGCAAUUCCAAUGUGACUAGCAGUGGAAAAGGAGUGUACGCUCUCUAAGCAGGGAUGAAUUUGCAAAUGACGCAGGAUGUAAGAACACUGCAAAACAGCACAUGUUAUGUACAUGUGGCCAGCCGGCUCUGUCACUCAAUUUACACUACAAACCAUAAAAAGCACGUGAUUUUAUUUAGCUUUUAUAGGGUUCUUUGCCGGGUGUUUUUUUUUUCAAGUUUAUUAGGCAGGCCUUUAGGUUUUAGGCCUUUCUGUGAUUCAUAGGAAUGUUUUAGAAUUGUGCAUGCAGGUCAGAACUACAAAAUAUAUUACGAAUCAAUACAA